rnacentral:rRNA from 1 species
GACGAACGCUGGCGGCGUGCUUAACACAUGCAAGUCGAACGGAAAGGCCCUGCUUGCAGGGUACUCGAGUGGCGAACGGGUGAGUAACACGUGGGUGAUCUGCCCUGCACUUCGGGAUAAGCCUGGGAAACUGGGUCUAAUACCGGAUAGGAGCCAUUUUUAGUGUGAUGGUUGGAAAGUUUUUUCGGUGUAGGAUGAGCUCGCGGCCUAUCAGCUUGUUGGUGGGGUAAUGGCCUACCAAGGCGGCGACGGGUAGCCGGCCUGAGAGGGUGGACGGCCACAUUGGGACUGAGAUACGGCCCAGACUCCUACGGGGGGCAGCAGUGGGGAAUAUUGCACAAUGGGCGCAAGCCUGAUGCAGCGACGCCGCGUGGGGGAGGACGGCCUUCGGGUUGGAAACUCCUUUCGCUAGGGACGAAGCUUUUUGUGACGGUACCUAGAUAAGAAGCACCGGCUAACUACGUG